GCGCCUGUAGCUCAGUUUGGAUAGAGCAACGGACUUCUAAUCCGUAGGUCGUGGGUUCGAAUCCCUCCAGGCGUGCCA
rnacentral:tRNA from 1 species